AUCGCAUCCUGGGGCUGGAGCAGGUCCCAAGGGUUCGGCUGUUCGCCGAUUAAAGCGGUACGCGAGCUGGGUUCAAAACGUCGUGAGACAGUUUGGUCCCUAUCUGCUGUGGGCGUAGGAGGCUUGAGAGGAUCUGACCUUAGUACGAGAGGACCGGGUUGGACGGACCGCCUGUGUACCAGUUGUCACGCCAGUGGCAUCGCUGGGUAGCAGUGUCCGGACUCGAUAACCGCUGAAAGCAUCUAAGCGGGAAGCGAACCUCAAGACGAGGCCUCCCGGGGCGUAAGCCCCCUGAAGGGCCGUCGAAGACUACGACGUCGAUAGGUCGGAGGUGUAAGCGCGGCAACGCGUUGAGCUGACCGAUACUAAUCGCCCGUGAGGCUUGGUCAUUCUUCUUCU
rnacentral:rRNA from 1 species